rnacentral:rRNA from 1 species
CACGUAGGGCGCAAGCGUUGUCCGGAAUUAUUGGUCGUAAAGAGCUCGUAGGCGGUCUGUUGCGUCCGCUGUGAAAACUCGGGGCUUAACCCCGAGCCUGCAGUGGAUACGGGCAGACUAGAGGUAGGUAGGGGAGAAUGGAAUUCCCGGUGUAGCGGUGAAAUGCGCAGAUAUCGGGAGGAACACCGGUGGCGAAGGCGGUUCUCUGGGCCUUACCUGACGCUGAGGAGCGAAAGCGUGGGGAGCGAACAGG